CCAGACUCCUACGGGAGGCAGCAGUGAGGAAUAUUGGUCAAUGGGCGAGAGCCUGAACCAGCCAAGUCGCGUGAGGGAAGACGGUCCUAUGGAUUGUAAACCUCUUUUGCCGGGGAGCAAAAAGCGGUACGUGUACCGCAUCGAGAGUACCCGGAGAAAAAGCAUCGGCUAACUCCGUGCCAGCAGCCGCGGUAAUACGUAGGUGGCAAGCGUUAUCCGGAUUUACUGGGUGUAAAGGGCGUGUAGGCGGGAAAGCAAGUCAGAUGUGAAAACCAUGGGCUCAACCUGUGGCCUGCAUUUGAAACUGUUUUUCUUGAGUACUGGAGAGGCAGACGGAAUUCCUAGUGUAGCGGUGAAAUGCGUAGAUAUUAGGAGGAACACCAGUGGCGAAGGCGGUCUGCUGGACAGCAACUGACGCUGAGGCGCGAAAGCGUGGGGAGCAAACAGGAUUAGAUACCCGAGUA
rnacentral:rRNA from 1 species